CUUUAUGAAUAGAGUCUCAGGAAGGGUAAGUGGCUUGUUCAAGUUCUCAUGGCCAAGAAGGUGGGAAGCUGAGAUUUUAACCAAGAUGUCUCUGUGACUUUAAUAAAUUAAGGGGAGAGAUAGAGAAUGAGGAUGAUAUUAUUGUUAGUAUAAGUUCUUGCACUGAAUGAUGUCAGCAAGUUGAGGCAGAGCAUUGGUGAGAAUGAGACUGGGCUGAAUCUGGAUGAGUAGAGAUCCUGCCUUGUUGCCAACUCUAGGAAUGACCUGGUCCUGUAAAACCUCAAUCUAUUGAUCAUGGAUUUUUCA